GCGUUACAAAAUAUGUACCUGUUGAUGUUUAUUGUCACUUUUCAUUGAUUAAGAAUAACCGAUUUUCCCCGAGUCUCUUUCAUUAACGAUGAUAAUAACAAGGAAAGCGCACAAUUCUUGGUCACAUGGAUUGAUGGAAUAUGAGGCAGUUCUUUUUGUAAACUAAACAUUAUUAUACACGCGGAAGUUUCUCGAAUUGUUCAAGGUCUGCAUGUUUGGUCUCCGGUACAGAAAUGUUGUUGGACACACCUUUCUCUAAGUUUUUCCUGCAUUGAUUUCUCUGUGCAAUAGAAGCGUUAGAAGCGCGAACGCGCGGCGAGCGCGGACACUUAGCGGCGCGAGCCCUGUCGCGCGGCGCCUCGCUCUCCGUCGGACACUGCGGAGGGGGGGUUCCGGGGUGUCCUCAGUGCCACUAAGGCUUUCCUCCAUUAGGGAACAAGGCCCGCCAUUGUGGCAGCGAGUGCGAUGCUGUCGGAGAUGGAACCCCCAGGAGCUGCUCAGGUGCAACCAGAGUCCGGAACAGAUUUCGGAUGAGGCCUCUCUACGUGGAGCUGUGCUGAGCUGGUGGCGGUGCCGUGUGCUCGUGGGCUGCGGGGUGGGGCCGUCAGGGCCGUGUACUCCGUACCUCAAACGGCGUAUUAAAAAUAAAUUAAAUCAUAAUAACAUUGACAGCACUUUAAUUAUAAGUAUUUGAACUGUAAUCAGCUGCUUCCCUCGCUAAGAUGCAAAUAAACAAAAUUACAGCUCUUUGUGUGGAGCGUAG
rnacentral:lncRNA from 1 species